AGUCAUAUGCUUGUCUCAAAGAUUAAGCCAUGCAUGUCUCAGUACAAGCCGCAUUAAGGUGAAACCGCGAAAGGCUCAUUAAAUCAGUUAUGGUUCCUUAGAUCGUACCCACACUUACUUGGAUAACUGUGGUAAUUCUAGAGCUAAUACAUGCAAACAGAGCUCCGACCGGAGACGGGAGGAGUGCUUUUAUUAGAUCAAAACCAAUCGGCGGCGGGCGCGUUCGCGCGUCCGUUCGCCGCUCAACCUGGUGACUCUGAAUAACUUUCCGCUGAUCGCACGGUCUCGCACCGGCGACGCAUCUUUCAAAUGUCUGCCUUAUCAACUGUCGAUGGUAGGUUCUGCGCCUACCAUGGUCGUAACGGGUAACGGGGAAUCAGGGUUCGAUUCCGGAGAGGGAGCGUGAGAAACGGCUACCACAUCCAAGGAAGGCAGCAGGCGCGCAAAUUACCCACUCCCGGCACGGGGAGGUAGUGACGAAAAAU
rnacentral:rRNA from 1 species